rnacentral:rRNA from 1 species
UAAGGAAUAUUCCACAAUGGGCGAAAGCCUGAUGGAGCGACGCCGCGUGGAGGAAGAAGGCCUUCGGGUUGUGAACUCCUUUUCUUUGGGAUGACACGCCUCCUUAUGGGGGCUAGGACAGUACCAAAGGAAUAAGCCUCGGCUAACUACGUGCCAGCAGCCGCGGUAAUACGUAGGAGGCGAGCGUUGUCCGGAUUUACUGGGCGUAAAGCGCGCGCAGGCGGCACUCUAAGUACGGUGUGAAAUCUCCCUGCUCAACGGGGAGGGCGCAUUGUAAACUGGGGAGCUAGAGGACGGUAGAGGGGGGUGGAAUUGCUGGUGUAGCGGUGAAAUGCGUAGAGAUCAGCAGGAACACCCGUGGCGAAGGCGGCCCCCUGGGCCGAACCUGACGCUGAGGCGCGAAGGCUAGGGGAGCGAACGGGAUUAGAUACCCCGGUAGUCCUAGCAGUAAACGAUGGCCACUAGGUGUGGGGGGUGUUGACCCCUUCCGUGCCGAAGCUAACGCAUUAAGUGGCCCGCCU